CAAGGUGAUAUACUUUCCGGAAGCAUGUAUUAAAAUACAGUUGUUCAAAAUUAAUCAAGCUUUAAUGGUAUGUUCAGUUCAGGCACAGAUUUUCUGGGGGUUAUGCACCCCAGAAAUGAUUCGCACCCCCUCCCCAGAGGCAUUUGGCAACACCCUUAAAAGUUUUUGCAGCCCCGCAAAUUAUAUAUAUUUUGAUUUGAUAGUUUCAUAUUUGAUUAUUCUUACUACUAAAUUUGUAAAAUUACCAAUAUUAUGUUCUCAGCCAAAGCAAGCAGCAGCACCCCCCAGAUAAGGGGCUUCGGUGGCCAAGUGGUUAGCGCACUUGCCUUUCACCUCUGAGGCUGCAGGUUCGAGUCUCACUAAGUACCUUCUCAAUGCGACUCGAACCCAGUCCCCAUGUGAAAAGAGUAAAAGUCAACGCUCUGCCGAAAGCCGUGGGUUUUCCCCGGGUACUCCGGUUUCCUCCCACAGGGAAAGUUGACAGGGUGGGUUAGGUAAAAAGGGC